UAUAUCCCAUCAGAGACAUUCUCGAUAGUAGAAUGCUCUAAAGUUGGUCACGUUCAAUGAUGAUAUACCCUUACAUCUCACCUGUAUGCCAUACCAGUGUCUCCACACUCCUUGGUUAAGAGGACAACCAACCCAUAUGGCCUACAGCGACCUAUGCUCGAUAGAAGCUGUCGUCCUUAUUAACAGCCUAUCAUUUGGUCAUGAACAGUUUUAAGGACUAAUCGAUAAAUUCUCUCUUUAUCAAACCUAAAUAGUCCUA
rnacentral:lncRNA from 1 species